AUUGAACGCUGGCGGCAGGCCUAACACAUGCAAGUCGAGCGAGCGGCGGACGGGUGAGUAAUGUCUGGGAAUCUGCCUGAUGGAGGGGGAUAACUACUGGAAACGGUAGCUAAUACCGCAUACCAUCAGAUGUGCCCAGAUGGGAUUAGCUUGUAGGUGGGGUAACGGCUCACCUAGGCGACGAUCCCUAGCUGGUCUGAGAGGAUGAUCAGCCACACUGGAACUGAGACACGGUCCAGACUCCUACGGGAGGCAGCAGUAGGGAAUAUUGCACAAUGGGCGCAAGCCUGAUGCAGCCAUGCCGCGUGUAUGAAGAAGGCCUUCGGGUUGUAAAGUACUUUCAGCAGGGAGGCGUUACCCACAGAAGAAGCACCGGCUAACUCCGUGCCAGCAGCCGCGGUAAUAC
rnacentral:rRNA from 1 species